GAGACACCAGUAAGAGAAAUCAGUCAAACAGCGAGAGCCAUACGCCAGCCCAGGAGCCAGCAGGAAGGCGGCCCGUACGGGAGCCAAACAGCUUUUUUACGGCAACAAAGACGCACACAGAGGCAAGUGUGUGCGGGGUCCGCAAGAAUAAGGACCAUAAAAUCCGGCGCCAGCAGCCCCGGCAACCCGGAAGGUCCGGGAGGUCCCACGAUUAUCUUGGUCUAAAGGGAGCACAGACCGCCCCACCAGCGUCAUGUAAAAUGUAGGCGCCCCCCGCCCACACAGCAGCGCGCACUGCUGGGCUUGAGUACGCACAACGAUGGCGGAACUCGCCGUGUAGCGGUGAAAUGCUUAGAUAUGGGGAAGAACUCCGAUUGGGAAGGCAGCUGACGGGAGCGCAACUGACGCUCGUGCUCGAAAGUGCGGGUAUCGAACAGGAUUAGAUACCCUGGUAGUCCGCACGGGUAAACGAUGGACGCCCGCUAUCCGUCCUUUGGGAUGUGUGGCCAAGCGAAAGCGUUAAGCAUCCCACCUGGGGGAGUACGCCGGCAACGGUGAAACUCAAAGGAAUUGACGGGGGCCCGCACAAGCGGAGGAACAUGUGGUUUAAUUCGAUGAUACGCGAGGAACCUUACCCGGGCUUGAAUUGCAGAUGAAGGAGACAGAGAUGUUGACGCCCCGCAAGGGGCAUCUGUGAAGGUGCUGCAUGGUUGUCGUCAGCUCGUGCCGUGAGGUGUCGGCUUAAGUGCCAUAACGAGCGCAACCCCUCUCCGUAGUUGCCAUCAGGUUAGGCUGGGCACUCUGCGGACACUGCCACCGUAAGGUGCGAGGAAGGUGGGGAUGACGUCAAAUCAGCACGGCCCUUACGUCCGGGGCUACACACGUGUUACAAUGGCCGGUACAGAGAGUCAGGUGCCUGCAAAGUCACCUUAAUCACGAAAUCCGGUCUCAGUUCGGACUGGGGUCUGCAACCCGACCCCACGAAGCUGGAUUCGCUAGUAAUCGCGCAUCAGCACGGCGCGGUGAAUACGUUCCCGGGCCUUGCACACACCGCCCGUCAAG
rnacentral:rRNA from 1 species